rnacentral:rRNA from 1 species
UACGAAGGGGGCGAGCGUUGUUCGGAAUUACUGGGCGUAAAGGGCGCGUAGGCGGCGACCCAAGUCAGAUGUGAAAGUCCUGGGCUUAACCUGGGGACUGCAUUUGAUACUGGGUUGCUUGAAUUCGGGAGAGGAUAGCGGAAUUCCCAGUGUAGAGGUGUAAUUCGUAGAUAUUGGGAAGAACACCGGUGGCGAAGGCGGCUAUCUGGACCGACAUUGACGCUGAGGCGCGAAAGCGUGGGGAGCAAACAGG